AUAAGCGCUACAUUUUCAGUCUCCCGCUCCAACUCCUCCAAGGAAGCCUCCUAAUUUCAGUUCUGCACUUCCCGCAGCGGCAGAUUCGCAGAAGUCCGCACUCCGCACUGCCGCAACGCCCGCAAGCCCGCCGAUCACCGCAGUCCGCCGCCCACCGCUCACUGGAGCACCGCCCGCUACCCGCCUCCUGCCGGUCGCCGCCUGACGCCCACAGCCUGCCGCUCACCGGAGUCACCGCCCGUCGCUACAUUCCAGAGUCCAGACCAUUUGAAACCAUUGCUGUACCAAAACUCCAAAAGGCUGCGAUUUCCACUCUUCCAGGCUCCAGAAGGCAGCAGGGCAGUCUCCAGUGGGUAAGUUCACAGUUCUAUUUUUUGAUUUUUUUUUCUAAA